CAUCGCUCCGGGGGAUUGUGGUCACGUUUAAGAGGACAAGAGAGUCGUUAGGACAGUCUGGACCACAGAUCAGGAAACAUUCGAGUAACUGAAAGUCCCCUCUCCACUCCAGCACCGAGUGCUACCGCAGAUAUUACUCCUCCUUUUUGAGGUCUUUCCAAGGCAAAAAGCGUGAGGUCUGGCUUUUCAAAGGAGCUGACUGUAACAGAGUCCAGCGGAGAAGAAGACAGCCAAUAAAGUGAUACUGGCAAAAGGAAGGGGUUAGUUAGUCAGAACAAGAAUCUGGCAAAGAAAACAUAGGAUCCAAUGGAAUGAGACUCCAGGACCGCAUCGGGCGCUUGAGGAAGACCCACUGUGGACAGAAAUCAUCAUGUUCACCGUUUACCAGCUGUUCUGAAAGAGGAGCUUGGAAUAGUGAAGUCCAGUCUAUCAUCUGUGAGACGACCUCUUUGGAAGUAUCAAUGACCAGAGUCCCGUAUAAAAUGCCAAGCCGAAGCUCUUCCUCGCUCCAGGGAAGCGCCUCU